GGGCUUGAACCCACGAAUGGUGAGAUCAUGACCUGAACUGAAGUUGGAUGCUUAACCGACUGAGCCAGCCAGGUGCCCCUAAGGCUUUUCUUACUCUUGGAACCUUCUCUCUAUUAUAUGAGUAAGCCCAAGGCAGCCCAUUAAAGAAUGAAAAACCAUGGAGAUCAUUACACCAACUGACAAUCAACCAACCCCUAGAAGCAAACCACCUAGCCAACUUGCAGCUGACCACCAAUCCAUUAGGGAACCCAAGUGAGACUAAAUAAGACUCCCAGCUUAACCCAGGACAAAUCAUUUGCUAAGGAGACCACAACUGCCACGUCUGGUCUGCAUUCAUCACCAUUCAUCACCUGGACUAGGCUUGUUGCCACACAAAUGUAUCAAGAUUUGGUAUCUGUGAUAGAAGGGGAGAAAAGAAAUUGAUCAUUUGCUGGGAGCUCCCUGAAAGAGGGACCUUGUGUAAUUCCCCUCUAUACCCUCAGCGCUCAGCACAGUGGAUGGCAUCUUCUAAGGAUUGGAGAUCCUGAACAAAUCAGAAAAGAGGAUAUAUUCCCAACUGCUUUGUCUUGAUGUUGGUGGGAUCUGAAGGCAGCAAGGAGAGAGAAAGAGACACAGAGACAGAGAUGAAGACAUGGAGAGAGAGAGGAAUUUAAGGAGAGAAGGAGAAAGAUUGAUUCUAGAAAGAAAGAAGAAAAAUCUGUUAAGUCAAAUGGAAAAGCAAAAAUAAAAUUUGAAAGAUUUGGCUAUGACAUCAGUUUUCUUACUCUGUA